UACGUAGGGUGCAAGCGUUUGUCCGGAAUUAUUGGGCGUAAAGAGCUCGUAGGCGGUUCGUCGCGUCGGCUGUGAAAACCUGAGGCUCAACCUCAGGCCUGCAGUCGAUACGGGCGGACUUGAGUACUGCAGGGGAGACUGGAAUUCCUGGUGUAGCGGUGAAAUGCGCAGAUAUCAGGAGGAACACCGGUGGCGAAGGCGGGUCUCUGGGGCCGAUACUGACGCUGAGGAGCGAAAAGCGUGGGGAGCGAACAGG
rnacentral:rRNA from 1 species